rnacentral:lncRNA from 1 species
AGUGGAGAACGAAGUGUGAACAUUUCCCUUUGUCACCCACCUCUGUCAAACUCAAUUAACUGUCAACCUUUGCUUUAGGGAGAUUUUGAUCACCUCAUAAUCUCUAUCAGUCCUUCCACACCAUUCUUUAACAGUGACAUUUUCUUACCUUUAGGAGACAAUCCAGAUGUUACAUGUGUGACUUCCAUUCAUAGUCCUUUGACUUGAAAUAAACCAGAUAAUUGUAGCUAGCUGCGAGAGGCUUGGGAAUGUCAGAUCUAGCUGGUCUUAAAUGUGUCAUAGCCAAAAAAGAGUUUUGAAGGCUGAAGGGUUAUACCAGUUUUGAGAAACACUGGCAUUCUCAUUCUUUCAGGGGGCACUGCUUUGGGAGAACAUUCAUGCGCCCAACAGGAACCAGAUCAGAAAGUCAAGUCAGGGACAUUUGGGUAUAGGAUUAAAA